rnacentral:lncRNA from 1 species
GUCGUUAUGGAAUUGUUUGGAGGCACGUCAUCCACUGACGGAAGCUAGAGUUUAAUGUUGAGGUUAUUCUCGGAUCUAUGUUAAGUCAUUGUUAUUCUACGCCUCAAGUAUGAAGUAUCAUUGUUGGUGCAAGAGAAUUAACACAAACAAGAGAACAAAAUGUUCGAAUGAAAUUGCCAUUGCAAGAGGAGUGUUCCAUGUUGUUUCUUUGGCGUGAGGGGGCUUCUUCG